rnacentral:rRNA from 1 species
AUUGAACGCUGGCGGCAGGCCUAACACAUGCAAGUCGAGCGGAUGAAGGGAGCUUGCUCCUGGAUUCAGCGGCGGACGGGUGAGUAAUGCCUAGGAAUCUGCCUGGUAGUGGGGGAUAACGUCCGGAAACGGGCGCUAAUACCGCAUACGUCCUGUGGGAGAAAGUGGGGGGUCUUCGGACCUCACGCUAUCAGAUGAGCCUAGGUCGGAUUAGCUAGUUGGUGGGGUAAAGGCCUACCAAGGCGACGAUCCGUAACUGGUCUGAGAGGAUGAUCAGUCACACUGGAACUGAGACACGGUCCAGACUCCUACGGGAGGCAGCAGUGGGGAAUAUUGGACAAUGGGCGAAAGCCUGAUCCAGCCAUGCCGCGUGUGUGAAGAAGGUCUUCGGAUUGUAAAGCACUUUAAGUUGGGAGGAAGGGCAGUAAGUUAAUACCUUGCUGUUUUGACGUUACCAACAGAAUAAGCACCGGCUAACUUCGUG